CGGGGUUGGUGCUUGCUGAAGCACAGGGAGUCAGUGCCCAGACUUCUUCUAGUAGGGCUGCCAUUUCCUCCAGUCCCCCCAGCAUUUCACAGGGAUGUGGCAGGCUCUCAGAAUGGGAACGUUCAAGAGUUCGUAGCUGAGCUGGAAUUUUCAACACCUGACAGAAAAGAAGGAUUUUGAGGCUGGAGUCGCACAGGAACUUUUAAGAGAUUUUAGCAGUCUUACAGAAGAAUGACCAUUGCAAUGCUGCAUGUUAUUCGCAAAGGCAAAGGUCUCUGAGUGGGCAGGACUCAUUCCACUGAAGCAACUAGGUUCUACUGAAGGAGGUAGAAAAAGAAGCUAAAAACCGGGAAAGCCAGUAGCGGGAAAAAGAAGCAUCCUUGGGAUCCCUGAAGGAUGGAGUAAUGAAUACUAAGAAUUGAAGCGCCACCUUUUGAAGAAUUCAAAGUCAAACAUCCGGUUGCAAGGUAAUAGACAUCCAAGUGCUGGGACUUAUUUUACUGUUGUGUUUGACUUUUAUAUCCAAAUACAUCCAUAAAAUGAAUUAAUGGAACAUUUAUUUGCAUAUGGCCUAGUAUAUAUUAGUGUCUCAUUAAAAUGUUCAUCUAAUUAGCCACUCAAGAAGAUGACUAUUUUAACUGGCACAGAUAACGGAAGCCAUCACAGCAAAUAAAGCAAACACAAACAUCCAGACCUUUGCCCGUCUGAAAUUUUA